rnacentral:lncRNA from 1 species
UGGCAGUCGAGUAUCUUAGUCUUUUCAUUCGAAGUAAAGGAAGCGUUUGACAAUUUUAGGAUAAAAAGCUGUUAUAGAUAUAAUAAAUAUAGGAUAAAGUAAGUGAUAUUGCUGAAUAUAAGACUUAAUUUUAUUUGCAAUACUAUUGUAAAUAAUUGUAUCAAUUAAUAACAUGAUAAGGGCGGUUUAUUUUUUUUAAUUUCGCAAAAGACAAAUUCUCCAAAUUUUUUUCAUAGAAUGAUGCUAAAUAACAGAAUACCCUUGCGGUAUAGAAUAUCUGGGCAUAGGUGGUGUUACAAACGAUAAAUUGGAGCAAGGCCUGAUUCGGCAUCAAAAAUCCAGAAAUUAUCAAUGGGGAACUGCUUCUUGCUAAUUGAAUUCAAUGCAUCUUGUGAAACAACCCCGCCAACAACGGACAUAACCGGAGUCCAUUGAAAGCUGAUAUUGGAAGAAAAUUUUCUAAAUAAAAUUAGUAAAAAAGUGAUCAAGUAGUCAAAGUAAUUCCGUUUACUUACGAUAAAAAUUCUCCAUUUAGUACUGUUUUCUCGUUCAGCUUUUGCUCGAUGCAAACUUGUCGAAUCGAGUCAGGAUCUGAUUUUUUACUUUUUAAUAAAGCUAAAUUAACAAUUAGCAACUGUAAAAAUUUACCAACUUCAUCAUAUUUAACCUUAUUGAACUCAGUUAAUGACUUACAUAACAUCGCUGGAUAUAAUGUAGGAAUCUUUUUUGCUAACCUGGGUUUUAGUGUUUCGCCCAAUAUGCUUUGAAAGGCUUCCUUCAUGGGUUUUUGAACAAUAAACAUAUCCUCUUCUACUUUAGUAUUAUCAACGACUCGAUCACUAAAAAUGUAAGCAAAGGUGUUGAAAUUGAAGAUCACUUAGACAAGACUUACAUUGCAAAAUUGUGGUUAAUCAAAUCACAAAAAGCGAACCCAUAAAGACCAAAACAGCUAGUUGCGUAGAAACUGGCAUUACAAAUUCGGGUUAAUUCGUUUAUUCGGCAGAACUCUUCAUAAUCAAGUUGCGUCGCAAUAACCAUGCUGAACUUUGAGAUUUUUCCUUCGUCAAUUUCAGAUAUCAGAGACGUAUCUGUAUCAAUUUCUACUAAAGGGUUUAAUUCAUGUAACUUUUUCUUGAAGACAUUAGCGCGGAGCUGGCCAAUGUCUGAAGCUUCUAUAAAAAAUUGCUCCUCGACAUCCUUUUCAUAAACAGUCAUUGAAUCUAAUACACAAAGUUUUCCUAUUCCAGAUAAUACCAGGUUUUUCGCUAUUUCAUUCGCUAAUGGAGAAGCAGUUAUUAAUAGGACGCGGGAUUGCUUUAGUCUAUAAUUUUGUCAGAACCCAGCUAUCAUGCGUAAAUUCAGCCAACUUACGCUUGUUGAGCAUUAAAGCCCCAGAGCCUAAUCUGUCUAUCGUAUAAAGCUAUUUCUUCAGCAUUAAUAUUGUGAUUCCCCAUGUCCUCUUCUUAGGGGUUAGUGGACUGAAUACAGCUAUGUCUAUCGUGAAUCAGAUAUAAGUUGGGGUAAGGUAGUAAAUAUCGAAAAGGCAGAUUUAGCUAAUCGUCUAACAGUGUUUAAUAUGGAAAUUAAAUAACAAACGAGUUCAUUACUGAUACAUUAUAUAGAGACUUAUGGCCAAGUCAAGGAUGUUUGGUAGAGGCAUUAAUUCACACCAUAUUCUUGGUAAUUGAGAAGCGAAACAGCGUUUUCAAUGUUAUUCUACAUAAAAUAAACAGAUUAGAUUAAGUAACAAAUAAGCAAAUCUAUAGCAAUGUGGGAAAGGGAAUACUAGAAUCUGACUAAGAGUGCUGAAAUUCAUCAAGUGGGAAAAAAUAAAAUAAAUACCAGUGGUUCAUGGAUUUAAAAGCAAAACGUAUAACAUCACGCAAUCCAAUUCUAAUGUGCGGAAAAAAUUUUUGAAGAGUAAACCUUACUAACUGAAUGAAACAAAUAUUAGGAAUUUUUUCGGUAAACAAAUAGAUAAGGGACGUGAAAACAUAAAGAAAAUGUUAUUAUUCGGGACCAGUUUCGGCUUCCAAAAUUCGUACAGCUCGCUGACUUUCUUCUUCCUGUAAAGUGGCCUGCAAUUCCUCCCUCUUUCUUCUACUUUUUUCUUUGUGCAAAUAAAACAUGCAAAGCAUUAAUAACAAUCCUUGAAGGCAUGCGCUGACAAUAUACAUCAUGUACGUAGUCCAAUUAGUACCGGGCAACCUGGAUAGUAAAUAUCCGAUCAAAAAUCCACCCGGAGUUUGCAUCAUCAUCAUUGGGAUACUAAGGGCACCAUGGCUUUGAUGGCGUAUAGUUUUUAUGAUUUGAGGAACAUACUGAACGACCGCGCAGAAUGAAGCGCUAAAUCCAAGGAAUGCUGCCCAAGCAAAGUUCGAACUAAGGACGGUUGCGGAUAGACAGAUGAUAAACAAUCCCCAAGUAAAUACACCAAGUAGCCCAUAAGAUGCUUUUCGCCAUUUACGACUUUUCGUUACACUUAAAGGCUCAGGGAUUGGUAAACCAUUUUCGUCAUCUGCUGCAACAAAGUGAAUAGGUCGAGGGAGAAACAUCCAGAAAGCCAUAAGAACACAACCCAUAAUAAGUACCUGAGAACCCACUUGAAUUAAACCGGUUGUGUUAGCAAAGCAUUGCUUUUUGGAAUAGUAAUUUUGACAGCAUUCAGUUAAAGGGCUAAUUUGUAGAGCAAUGACAUUUGAGAACGCAUUAAGAACACCUAUGUAACCCAAAAUAAGGUAAGAAAAACUUAAGCCUUGCGAACUUCCGAGACGAACAAUGCGAAAGAUUUGUAACAGGUAAGAAAUGAUGAGGCCUAUGAUAAUAUACACUGAAAAGAUAAAGCUAGCU